AUGCAAGUCGAACGGACUUACAUUGAAGCCUAGCGAUAUGUAAGUUAGUGGCGGACGGGUGAGUAACGCGUGGGUAACCUGCCUUGUACUGGGGGACAACAGUUGGAAACGACUGCUAAUACCGCAUAAGCGCACAGCUUCGCAUGAAGCAGUGUGAAAAACUCCGGUGGUACAAGAUGGACCCGCGUCUGAUUAGCUGGUUGGUGAGGUAACGGCCCACCAAGGCGACGAUCAGUAGCCGGCCUGAGAGGGUGAACGGCCACAUUGGGACUGAGACACGGCCCAAACUCCUACGGGAGGCAGCAGUGGGGAAUAUUGCACAAUGGGGGAAACCCUGAUGCAGCAACGCCGCGUGAGUGAAGAAGUAUUUCGGUAUGUAAAGCUCUAUCAGCAGGAAAGAAAAUGACGGUACCUGACUAAGAAGCCCCGGCUAACUACGUGCCAGCAGCCGCGGUAAUACGUAGGGGGCAAGCGUUAUCCGGAUUUACUGGG
rnacentral:rRNA from 1 species